rnacentral:lncRNA from 1 species
GCUUUGCUAAUUGCUGCUGAGAGAGAAAAAGCAAACGUCUGACCCAAAUUGAAACUCAAGCUAGAACUAAUUGAUUGCACGUGAUUCUGGCUCUUUAGCCGCCGCAAAAGAAAAAGAAACGUCUGAUGCCUAAGGAAGCUAAGAGCUCCUCUCUUUAUUAGACGUGAAUCUGGCUUUUAGCCUUCUUUGAAGCCGCCGAAAAGAAAGGAAAAGGCUCUGCACUUUGCUUCCCCUUUAAAAAGGGUUUUGAUCCUCUGCAUCUCCGCGGCCCACGCGAUUCACUCUUGAUUUUCCGAUGUUUCACUUGUUUUACCAAUCUCCCGGUCCGGCUUUUAGGUAUAGCUCUUCGGUUUCUGUCGCAGGUACGCCAUGAAAUAGAGAGUUUUCUGAAAAUUUAUCUCGUGAAAGCACUUUUUACACCAACCACCUACAAUUCAUACAAAUAUGAAAUAUGAGCAAAAUCUCAAUACUUAGCACAGUAAGUAGCCAAAAUUAGGACAAAAUAACAGUGCAAAAUAUGCCCAAUAAUUGCUCUAUCAAUCAAGUAAUGAUAAUGAUAUUUAAGCCUUAAGUACCUUGAUUAUGUGUAAGGAUAGUAGGCAUAAAAUACAUGCCAUGUGAAUGCAUACAUCAAUAUUAAUUAUUUUUCACUAUUUAAACAUUCUUUAAAAUUAACUUUACUUAAAAAAAAAAAAAAACUUAACUCUGUCCCAGAAAAACUGCAAAAUUUUCAACAAUCGAGCAAUGAAAACUGCAAAAUAAUGAUAAUACAGGGGUGCAAAUUACAAUUAAUCCCAGAAAAAUUGUAUCAUUAGUCAAAUAUAUGUAGUGGUUAGUGUCCAUAACUGUUUUAGUGUCUACAAUUUUAGAAAAAUUUUGGGGAAGAUUGGAAAGGUAACUAGUUAUUUUGGAUUUGAUUUUGUAGAAAAGAAUGUUCAUUCUUUUAAUGGUUCUUUAAUAAUUAUGGAAAAGUAAAAACCACAUCUUUUUGUGUUUUUAACAAAAAUUACGAAUAACAAGUUUCUUUUCAAACUUGUGAGGACAUUUUUAGCAAAUUGCUUUUCGCAAGAAUAAGGUGAAAGAUCACUGAAAUUCUAUAGACAGAAUGUUGCAGUCAGCUGCAGACAUAAUCCAUCUUUCAGAUCAAAUUCCUAAACAAAAUAGGCAAAGCAAAUUGUAAUGCGUGUUUAUUAGGUGAUGAAAAAUGGAACAAAUACAUGUUUUACCAACAUGGGAUUUUAACAGAGAACAAUAAAAGCUAGGGUGGAAGUCAAUUUGGAUCGUGCUCAACUUUGGAAUCCAUCAUUCAUGAUGAGGGAAAAAAUUGUCAUCUUUUUCUUCCAUCAAUGUCUGUUGCCAGCAGGUAUGCAAGUGGUGCAUUUACCAAUCUUUUGUGAUAUUAUGAACUCUUGCAGUCAUGGCAAAGGAUAAUCUACUCCUCAUUCAACAAACUUGUGGUGUCACUCAAUCCUUUUCCACCAGUCUCUAUAGGUAAGAAAAGCAUACAGAAUCCUGUGAGAAGUAUCACAGCCUCAAAAAGAACAAUUGCUGCUGUUUGAUGGCAAUCCCUGACUAAGCCAACCGCUACAAGAGGGCAUAUCAUUCC